GAUGAACGCUGGCGGCGUGCCUGAUACAUGCCAGUCGAGCGAACAGACGAGGAGCUUGCUCCUCUGACGUUAGCGGCGGACGGGUGAGUAACACGUGGAUAACCUACCUAUAAGACUGGGAUAACUUCGGGAAACCGGAGCUAAUACCGGAUAAUAUAUUGAACCGCAUGGUUCAAUAGUGAAAGACGGUUUUGCUGUCACUUAUAGAUGGAUCCGCGCCGCAUUAGCUAGUUGGUAAGGUAACGGCUUACCAAGGCGACGAUGCGUAGCCGACCUGAGAGGGUGAUCGGCCACACUGGAACUGAGACACGGUCCAGACUCCUACGGGAGGCAGCAGUAGGGAAUCUUCCGCAAUGGGCGAAAGCCUGACGGAGCAACGCCGCGUGAGUGAUGAAGGUCUUCGGAUCGUAAAACUCUGUUAUUAGGGAAGAACAAAUGUGUAAGUAACUAUGCACGUCUUGACGGUACCUAAUCAGAAAGCCACGGCUAACUACGUG
rnacentral:rRNA from 1 species